rnacentral:rRNA from 1 species
GACGAACGCUGGCGGCGUGCCUAAUCCAUGCAAGUCGAGCGGCGCGGCAGACGGGUACGUAAUGACUAGGAAUCUGCCUGGUCGUGGGGGAUAACGUCCGGCAACGGGCGCUAAUACCGCAUACUAUCAGAUUAGCCUAGGUCGGAUUAGCUUGUUGGUGGGGUAAAGGCCUACCAAGGCGACGACCCGUAACUGGUCUGAGAGGAUGAUCAGUCACACGGGAAAUGAGACACGGUCCAGAUUCCUACGGGAGGCAUCAGUGGGGAAUAUUGGACAAUGGGCGAAAGCCUGAUCCAGCCAUGCCGCGUGUGUGAAGAAGGUCUUCGGAUUGUAAAGCACUUUAAGUUGGGAGGCGUUACCAACAGAAUAAGCACCGGCUAACUUCGUGCCAGCAGCCGCGGUAAUUC